UUUACAAGUCAAAAUUGUCUUAAUUUAAUUACAAUAAGCACUCAAUCACAUACUACAUAGAACUACCUAACAUAACAAAAUCACCAAAAUAAUAGACUACAACAAAUAUUCAACUCAGUUUCAUUUCACGCUUUCAACAGAUGGAGUUGUAUCGACAUAGGCUCAAAAUAUGUAUAUGGUAUUGGAAAUACAAGAAGAAGAAGAAGAAGGAGUAGUCAGUAGCAUCACUACAACACAUCAAUACAAACAGCGGCAGCAAAUAACACUAGCAACAGUUCCAAUCAAGUUCAAUACCCAGAAAAGUUCGAAAACAGAACGAGGCCGACAGAACAGCCUCAAACAGAAUACCAAACUCAAGGAUGAACCAAGGGACUGAACUUAAAGGAUCGACUGAUCCACCAACUGUUUCAAACCCAACAGACUUGAAGCACAAUGAGCUAAGGAACUAAAUCCAAACUCGGAACCUCUUAAUAAUACUCUCUGAAAUCUCUCUUAGAUUGGUUAAGGACUGAAUUCUCGAAGCCUCAAUGUCUAUCUCUAUCAAUGUGAAUCUAUCUUUUGAUUUGCUGUGUGUUUUUGACUCUGAUCUCUUACUGCCC
rnacentral:lncRNA from 1 species